UUUAAGAUUACAAGUCUUAUAAAAAGAUGAAUUAUAAUUAAAUUUCAAUGAUUUACAGAAUGAUUGUAGCUGACAAUGGAUUCAAUAAUUUUCAUCGUAUGCUGUCUUCUAUCAAUACUGUAUCAUCUGUAAUACUCUGCGCAUUUGCAAAUUUUUAUUAGUGGAUAAAGAGUUGAAGAAAUCAAAUCGGAUAAGAGUAGAAAUACAAAAAUCACCCAUAAUCGAUGCUGGCAGGAGAUGACAAAUUA